GCUUGCUUCAGUGGCACGUGUACAAGUUGGAAUGAUCCAGAGAAGAUCCGCAUGCCCCUGAGCAAGGAUGACAUGCAAAUUCAUGAAGCCUUCCGUAGAUCU